AUAAAUUUUCUGUUUGGUUUUGUCUGUGCUGUGUUCUGUUCUAAAGAAAAACAGUGAAAAAGUGAAAAUUGUGGAAAAAAUACUAAUUAUUUGUGUAAAUCUUACAGGAAUAUACAGAAAAGUAAUACUCAGUAAGACUGAAGUGUUGUGAAAGUUGUUUUGUGCAAGAAUUUGUUUAAUAAUUUCGUGAGACGCCGCAUAUUUAAUUUUAUUGAACAUUCAUAUGCUGCUUUAGGUACUCAGAGUCCCAAAAGAGACGAAAGAGUUAAGGUGAUCACCGCCGGACAGACAGACGAAUUAGACGACAAACAAACAAAUAACAUAACAUUGUCUGAGACAUCUCCUGAUUUGUGAAGAUACAUGAUGUUUCCGGGGCGGAAGGUGAAAAUUUUAAGCAGAAGAAAUGGUGUAAACGUCAGUGUAAAUGGUAAAAGCAAAUAUGUGAUCCUGAAAAAAGAUUACUCUUCAACUUAAUGUGGAGGGAGUUU